AACGCGAAGAACCUUACCAGGUCUUGACAUCCCCUGACAACCCUAGAGAUAGGGCGUUCCCCUUUCGGGGACAGGGUGACAGGUGGUGCAUGGUUGUCGUCAGCUCGUGUCGUGAGAUGUUGGGUUAAGUCCCGCAACGAGCGCAACCCUUGACCUUAGUUGCCAGCAUUCAGUUGGGCACUCUAAGGUGACUGCCGGCUAAAAGUCGGAGGAAGGUGGGGAUGACGUCAAAUCAUCAUGCCCCUUAUGACCUGGGCUACACACGUGCUACAAUGGGUGGUACAAAGGGCAGCGAAACCGCGAGGUGGAGCGAAUCCCAAAAAACCACUCUCAGUUCGGAUUGCAGGCUGCAACUCGCCUGCAUGAAGCCGGAAUCGCUAGUAAUCGCGGAUCAGCAUGCCGCGGUGAAUACGUUCCCGGGUCUUGUACACACCG
rnacentral:rRNA from 1 species